GACGAACGCUGGCGGCGUGCCUAACACAUGCAAGUCGAACGGAACUGCUUCGAAGGAUUUCUUCGGAAUGACAUUGAUUCAGUUUAGUGGCGGACGGGUGAGUAACGCGUGAGUAACCUGCCUUCAAGAGGGGGAUAACAUUCUGAAAAGAAUGCUAAUACCGCAUGACAUAUGAUUGUCGCAUGGCAGACAUAGCAAAGAUUUAUCGCUUGAAGAUGGACUCGCGUCCGAUUAGUUAGUUGGUGAGGUAACGGCCCACCAAGACCGCGAUCGGUAGCCGGACUGAGAGGUUGAACGGCCACAUUGGGACUGAGACACGGCCCAGACUCCUACGGGAGGCAGCAGUGGGGGAUAUUGCGCAAUGGGGGCAACCCUGACGCAGCAACGCCGCGUGAAGGAUGAAGGUUUUCGGAUUGUAAACUUCUUUUAUUAAGGACGAAUAAUGACGGUACUUAAUGAAUAAGCUCCGGCUAACUAC
rnacentral:rRNA from 1 species